UACGUAGGGGGCUAGCGUUGUCCGGAAUCAUUGGGCGUAAAGCGCGUGUAGGCGGCCCGAUAAGUCCGCUGUGAAAGUCCAGGGCUCAACCCUGGGAUGCCGGUGGAUACUGUCGGGCUCGAGUCCGGAAGAGGCGAGUGGAAUUCCUGGUGUAGCGGUGAAAUGCGCAGAUAUCAGGAGGAACACCGGUGGCGAAGGCG
rnacentral:rRNA from 1 species